rnacentral:rRNA from 1 species
UACAUAGGGGGCAAGCGUUAUCCGGAAUUAUUGGGCAUAAAGGGUGCGUAGGCGGUAUGUUAAGUUUAAGGUAUAAGCUCAUGGCUCAACCAUGGGAGGCUUUAGAAACUGGCAUGCUAGAGUGCAGUAGAGGCAAGUGGAAUUCCAUGUGUAGCGGUAAAAUGCGUAAAUAUAUGGAGGAACACCAGUAGCGAAGGCGGCUUGCUGGGCUGUAACUGACGCUGAGGCACGAAAGCGUGGGGAGCAAACAGG